UACGAAGGGGGCGAGCGUUGUUCGGAUUUACUAGGCGUAAAGGGCGCGUAGGCGGCCUUGUCAGUCAGGCGUGAAAGCCCCGGGCUCAACCUGGGAACGGCGCUUGGGACGGCGAGGCUGGAGUUCGGGAGAGGAGAGUGGAAUUCCCAGUGUAGAGGUGAAAUUCGUAGAUAUUGGGAAGAACACCGGUGGCGAAGGCGGCCUGCUGGACAGCACCUGACACUGAGACGCGAAAGCGUGGGUAGCAAACAGG
rnacentral:rRNA from 1 species